UUGCAUCUUGACAAGCCUGAAGCUCUGACAUGGGCUACCUGGGUUUUUAACGAUGAUGCAACAUCAAUAUCUCCGCGCUUUCUGUGUGCUCUCUCCGUAGCAGCUCAGAUUGAAUAGGGGAUAACAUGG